ACCUGAGCCCAGUUUACUAUAGGACUUAGCAGAGAGGGCUGCGCUCUAUCACUUGGUUUCCUUCCUUUCAACGAUCACAGCUUCCGUGGAGAUGUUCCAGGCUGGUUUAAGAUUUAGGGAAGGAGCUCAGUGGUUCCUCCUAAUUGUGAGAGGGAUAAACAUGUCACAUCACAGAAAGGAAGUAUUGUGAAGAAGCAGGCAAAGACUCUGAAUAAUCAGAUUUACUUUCUUUUCCUGCAUUGUGCUGUUUAAGACUGCUAAAUGAAGAUAAAUUCUAUUGCAGAAUCCUGAAUUUCACCAUGAAGAGACUGUCGCCCAGCCUUCUCAUCUAGAGAAUUAUUCUCAGGAUCUGCAGACAGGAGGAAGAUUAGCCCUGAGCUAAUAUCUGCUGCCAAUCCUCCUCUUUUUGCUGAGGAAGACUGGCCCUGAGCUAACAUCCAUGCCCGUCUUCCUCUGCUUUAUAUGUGGGAUGCCUUCCACAGGAUGGCUUUACAAGUGGUGCGUAGGUCCACAUCCGGGAUCCGAACCUGUGAACGCUGGGCCACCAAAGUGAUGCAGCUCCAUAUGUCCCUCAGCCAGUGCCUGUCUUCACAGGCGAAAAUGUUGAAAACAUAAGAGCUGUUUUGUGAAUUGUAUGUGCCUUCAUAAUUUAAUGACAUGAAGGACUUGGAAGUGAAUCAAAAAAAGAAAAGGAAAAUUUGGAGUGAUGUAUUAAUAGAUUCAGAAAGAAUGUCUUUCUCCAGAAAGAAAGCUUAUUCCUACCGUGGAGUUCAGCGAGAGGGAAGAAAGCAUAUAGACAAUCACAAGCCUCUAGACCCAAGGGUGGAGUCGGUGGAAAAGAGGAGACUAGAGACAUCUCAUAACAGACUACUUCCAAAGAAGUCAGCCAAAGCUCAACCUCAUCGCACAUACACAACCAUGUUUAUCCCGGUCUUACCAGGCUUGGCAAAAAUGAAUGUACUCCCCAGUGCUGCUCUCUCUUGAGAGAGGGACUGAAAGUAAAAUUCUCUCUAUAGAAAUGUGAUGCAGAGAAUUAAGAGUUAUGUAUCUCCAC
rnacentral:lncRNA from 1 species